rnacentral:tRNA from 2 species
GGGUGAGUGGUGAAAUUGGUAGACACGCCAGAUUUAGGUUCUGGUGCUUAAUCGCGUGCGGGUUCGAGUCCCGCCUCGCCCACCA